rnacentral:rRNA from 1 species
AUUGAACGCUGGCGGCAUGCCUUACACAUGCAAGUCGAACGGCAGCACGGGUGCUUGCACCUGGUGGCGAGUGGCGAACGGGUGAGUAAUAUAUCGGAACGUACCUUAUUGUGGGGGAUAACGCAGCGAAAGCUGUGCAAAUACCGCAUAAUCCCUAAGGGGGAAAGCGGGGGACCGUAAGGCCUCGCGCAAUUAGAGCGGCCGAUACCUGAUUAGCUAGUUGGUGAGGGAAAGGCUCACAAAGGCAACGAUCAGUAGCGGGUCUGAGAGGACGAUCAGCCACACUGGGACUGAGACACGGCCCAGACUCCUACGGGAGGCAGCAGUGGGGAAUUUUGGACAAUGGGGGAAACCCUGAUCCAGCAAUGCCGCGUGUGUGAAGAAGGCCUUCGGGUUGUAAAGCAAUUUCAGUGGGGAAGAAAGAACCAAAAUUAAUACUUUUGGGUGUUGACGUUACCCACAGAAGAAGCACUGGCUAACUCUGUACCAGCAGCCGCAGUAA